CUCUGCUAAAAAAUGGAUUCUUGAUUCAUGCCAUAUUGCCUUGCAAUCAGAGGAAGCAUUUAACCAGGACUAUCCUGACUUUAAAGAAAUGUAGCUUCCAGAAGGACAUCCUUCAUGUUGUAUUCUAAAUUAGAGCUUUUACUUUCCUAGAACAAAUAGUUUUAGGUGUGGUUACUGUUACUUCAUCCCUGAAGCGUUUCCAAGAGAAACAAGGGAUUGUCCACAAGAUAAUCACCGCUGUGUCUGACUCCUCUGUGUGUAGUAUGGUGUGUCACUAAGAGAGAGGUAUUAUCUACAUGCAGCCUGUGAACAAAAAUCAAGAAUACCCGCUGGGGAUAAAACUUUAUGUGCAAAUUGUUCUGCAAAUGGAUGGUUUCUCCGGAAAGAGUUCCUUGCUGCCAGGUGCAAAUCCACACUAUGAAAAUGGAUGUUAUGAAAGUGUCAGCUUUGAGGUGGGGACAGUCCCACAGCAUGGGCUGUCAUCUGGCAGGGGCUUCAAUCUCCAAGAAAUACCGAGGAUCUCACACAAGCUCACACAGGAGCCACCAGGACCAGCUUUCAGCAUUUUAUGAUCUUCACAUCUGGCCUGUGGGACACGUGUUGGUGGACUAAGUGCCAAAGCCAAAGAGGAGGAAAGAUGAUGCCUUGGGGUGCUGGAGG
rnacentral:lncRNA from 1 species